AUUGAACGCUGGCGGCAUGCCUUACACAUGCAAGUCGAACGGCAGCACGGGGCAACCUGGUGGCGAGUGGCGAACGGGUGAGUAAUGCAUCGGAACGUACCUUUCAGUGGGGGAUAACGUAGCGAAAGUUACGCUAAUACCGCAUAUUCUGUGAGCAGGAAAGCAGGGGAUCGCAAGACCUUGCGCUGAUUGAGCGGCCGAUGUCAGAUUAGCUAGUUGGUGAGGUAAAGGCUCACCAAGGCGACGAUCUGUAGCGGGUCUGAGAGGAUGAUCCGCCACGCUGGAACUGAGACACGGUCCAGGCUCCUACGGGAGGCAGCAGUGGGGAAUUUUGGACAAUGGGGGCAACCCUGAUCCAGCCAUGCCGCGUGAGUGAAGAAGGCCUUCGGGUUGUAAAGCUCUUUCGGCCGGGAAGAAAUCGCACGGGCUAAUACCCUGUGUGGAUGACGGUACCGGAAUAAGAAGCACCGGCUAACUACGUGCCAGCCGCCGCCGUAAUAC
rnacentral:rRNA from 1 species